ensembl:lncRNA
GUAACAUUUAAAAAAUGUUAGACAAACAUCUAACUAAAACGUUCCAGAAAAAGAAAAAAAAAGUUCAGUGAAUAAUGUAGUCUAUAAACAAUGUUUCCGUGCUAACGUUUGAGAACAUUAUUCAAGACCAGAUAAAGAAGGUUCUAUUAACAUAACUGGAAGAGUGUUUUCUAUUUGUAAGCGUGUUCUCUGUGAGCUGCUUUAGAAGAGUAGGGGAAGGGGAAGCAGAGCUCCAGAUUGGGAGGAUUUUUGGAGCUGUGAUUGGAGCAAAUCCUGGAAGAGGCCUUAAAUGGGAACUGAAGUCUUGGAUCUUUGUUGUUUUCGCUGGAAUGAAGACAAAAUGAGAUGUUCUGAA